UACGAAGGGGGCUAGCGUUGCUCGGAAUUACUGGGCGUAAAGCGCACGCAGGCGGAUUGUUAAGUCGGGGGUGAAAUCCUGGAGCUCAACUCCAGAACUGCCUUCGAUACUGGCGAUCUAGAGUCCGGGAGAGGUGAGUGGAACUGCGAGUGUAGAGGUGAAAUUCGUAGAUAUUCGCAAGAACACCAGUGGCGAAGGCGGCUCACUGGCCCGGUACUGACGCUGAGGUGCGAAAGCGUGGGGAGCAAACAGG
rnacentral:rRNA from 1 species